GCCCGGCGUGGUGGCGCACACCUGUAAUCCCCGUAGCUGGGGAGGCUGAGGCAGGAGAAUCACAAGUUCAAGGGCAGCUGCAUUAAAUUAGUAAGGUCCUAAGCAGCUUAGUAAGACCUUGUCUCUA
rnacentral:sRNA from 1 species